GGUUUUUAUUGCAUUCUCCAGGAAGCAAGCACCGCUUCCUACAUAUCACUGUUGAAUCCUUGCAUGUACACACUGUACAGUUGUCAUAAAUAAAUGAGGAUCCAUUAUCAUACACAUUGCUAUGAAAGAGACAGCUUCCAAAUGGGAGGUCAAACACUUUCCUCUGUCCUAAGCAUUUGGGGCAACAUUGUCCUGCAGGAAUGUGACUGAGGUGCUGGGGACACGAGAGAAUGGGGCAGACUUCUUGGAUGCACUGGGUCCUGCCACCAACACAAGAGCACUUGGUGCAUUUAUUUCCUUCAGGCCUAAAUUCUUCUCCUUCAUUGUAAUGUCUCCCUUCAAAUAUACAACCUGGACACACGGGGCAACACAUCCCCACAACUUUGGAUGGGUUUUUGCAAUGAACAACACACUGUACCUCCGACUCUAUUAUCACU
rnacentral:lncRNA from 1 species